GACGAACCGUGCGAACGUUGUUCGGAAUCACUGGGCUUAAAGGGCGCGUAGGCGGGUUGUCAAGUCCGGGGUGAAAGCCCCCAGCUCAACUGGGGAAGUGCCUUGGAUACUGGGAACCUCGAGGGAGGUAGGGGCGUGCGGAACUUCCGGUGGAGCGGUGAAAUGCGUAGAUAUCGGAAGGAACACCGGUGGCGAAAGCGGCGCGCUGGACCUCUUCUGACGCUGAGGCGCGAAAGCCAGGGGAGCAAACGGG
rnacentral:rRNA from 1 species